rnacentral:rRNA from 1 species
ACGGGAGGCAGCAGUGGGGGAUAUUGCACAAUGGGGGAAACCCUGACGCAGCGACGCCGCGUGAGUGAUGAAGUAUUUCGGUAUGUAAAGCUCUAUCAGCAGGGAAGAAAAUGACGGUACCUGACUAAGAAGCUCCGGCUAAAUACGUGCCAGCAGCCGCGGUAAUACGUAUGGAGCAAGCGUUAUCCGGAUUUACUGGGUGUAAAGGGAGCGUAGACGGUGACGCAAGUCUGAAGUGAAAGGUGUGGGCUCAACCCGCAAACUGCUUUGGAAACUGUGUGACUAGAGUGUCGGAGAGGUAAGUGGAAUUCCUAGUGUAGCGGUGAAAUGCGUAGAUAUUAGGAGGAACACCAGUGGCGAAGGCGGCUUACUGGACGAUAACUGACGUUGAGGCUCGAAAGCGUGGGGAGCAAACAGGAUUAGAUACCCUGGUA